UACGUAGGGUGCGAGCGUUGUCCGGAAUUAUUGGGCGUAAAGGGCUCGUAGGCGGUUUGUCGCGUCGGGAGUGAAAUCCACUGGCUUAAACUGGUGGGCUUGCUUUCGAUACGGGCAGACUGGAGGUAUGCAGGGGAGAACGGAAUUCCUGGUGUAGCGGUGGAAAUGCGCAGAUAUCAGGAGGAACACCGGUGGCGAAGGCGGUCUCUGGGCGAUGUCCUGACGCUGAGGAGCGAAAGUGUGGAGAGCGAACAGG
rnacentral:rRNA from 1 species